AUAAGAUUAAGUUAGGUUAGACUAAAUGUUUUCAAAACAUUAAGUGGCUUUAUUUAGGUCAUCUUAUG
rnacentral:tRNA from 2 species